rnacentral:rRNA from 1 species
AAAGCGCACGUAGGCGGCUUUGUAAGUUAGAGGUGAAAGCCUGGUGCUCAACAUCAGAAUUGCCUUUAAGACUGCAUCGCUUGAAUCCAGGAGAGGUGAGUGGAAUUCCGAGUGUAGAGGUGAAAUUCGUAGAUAUUCGGAAGAACACCAGUGGCGAAGGCGGCUCACUGGACUGGUAUUGACGCUGAGGUGCGAAAGCGUGGGGAGCAAACAGGAUUAGAUACCCGAGU